AAAUAUCCUUUUAAGGAUGAAUGAAGUUUUUCAACUCCAGAUAAGUAUAGUGACUAGCCCUUAAGAGCAGUGCUAUUCAUUCAUAUAGCCACUUACAGGGCCACAAUAUUCACAAUUAAAAACCCAUCAGACAGAUGGUGCCAAUUUCUGAAAAGCCAUCUCGUCCCUCAAAACACCUUCUUGUAGUCAGGGGAAAUACAGGUCCCACCAGGAGAGGAUUCAGAAUCAAAGCUCCAAUUCAUCUGGUCGUGGACACUUCUGUCACAGAGCCCAAGAAAAACAGCUGUCUUACCUACACCUCGGAACUAACUGAGCAACUGAAGGAGACCAAUUGCGGCCCCUGCUGGUACCUGACACCUACAAAACAACAGAAUCAAGAGAGGGCAGCAACACCAGAAACAUUCCCAUUGAAACGCUGUAACCCAAAAAAUAAAAUAAAAAUGUAAGAACAAAAGGAUAUCGUAGUAACAACAUCAGCAGAGAACAUCUAAUGACCAGGUAUCGCAGUAACUAGCAACAGGAACUCCCUCUACACCUUCAGUUACGUCUCAAACUGGUUUCCCACUUCGUGAAGGACUUUGCAAGAAAGGAUUUUUCAGCUUUGUAAAGCUCAGCCAGCAGACCAAUGCCUGGAACCUUGCCCUGUGAAAAUGCAUGGUCUACCUCCUUUACCACAGGUUGACACAGGCAGCACUUGAACAUGACUUCAAAAAAUGAGAUUAGAAUAUUUUAAGGGUUCACCCAUUUUGUUGGUUUCAUGAUUCAGUUUCAGUAAAGAAUCUUGGCUGCAGCACUUCUAACUUCCCAAAUGUCAUAAUUUAAAACUUGUACACAUUUAAAUUUAAAAGAAGAAACAAACACGCACCCAAGAGCUUUAGGAACAAAGCCAGUUCAGUUACAGAACAUUCUGUACUGUGAGGAACAUCAACACAUACUGGCUCACGUGUUUGGACAGUCAGUUUAGGAACUAAGUCUUUGUUCUACAAGAAAAUAGAUUAAAGAUGGGGUAAACAA